AGAGUUUGAUCAUGGCUCAGAUUGAACGCUGGCGGAAUGCUUUACACAUGCAAGUCGAACGGCAGCACGGACUUCGGUCUGGUGGCGAGUGGCGAACGGGUGAGUAAUAUAUCGGAACGUAUCCAAUAAUGGGGGAUAACUAAUCGAAAGGUUGGCUAAUACCGCAUACGCCCUACGGGGGAAAGCUGGGGACCUUCGGGCCUGGCGUUAAUGGAGCGGCCGAUACCUGAUUAGCUAGUUGGUGAGGUAAAGGCUCACCAAGGCGACGAUCAGUAGCUGGUCUGAGAGGACGACCAGCCACACUGGAACUGAGACACGGUCCAGACUCCUACGGGAGGCAGCAGUGGGGAAUUUUGGACAAUGGGCGAAAGCCUGACCCAGCCAUUCCGCGUGAGUGAAGAAGGCCUUCGGGUUGUAAAGCUCUUUCGCAAGGGAAGAAAGAUUACUCUCUAACAUAGAGUGAUUAUGACGGUACCUUGAUAAGAAGCACCGGCUAACUACGUGCCAGCAGCCGCGGUAAUACGUAGGGUGCGAGCGUUAAUCGGAAUUACUGGGCGUAAAGCGUGCGCAGGCGGUUUUGUAAGUCAGAUGUGAAAUCCCCGAGCUCAACUUGGGAACUGCGUUUGAAACUACAAGACUAGAAUAUGUCAGAGGGGGGUAGAAUUCCACGUGUAGCAGUGAAAUGCGUAGAGAUGUGGAGGAAUACCAAUGGCGAAGGCAGCCCCCUGGGAUAAUAUUGACGCUCAUGCACGAAAGCGUGGGGAGCAAACAGGAUUAGAUACCCCGGUAGUCC
rnacentral:rRNA from 1 species